rnacentral:rRNA from 1 species
UACGGAGGGUGCAAGCGUUAUCCGGAUUCACUGGGCUUAAAGGGUGCGUAGGCGGAUAGGUAAGUCCGUGGUGAAAUCCUGCAGCUUAACUGCAGAACUGCCGUGGAUACUAUCUAUCUUGAAUAUCGUGGAGGUUAGCGGAAUAUGUCAUGUAGCGGUGAAAUGCUUAGAUAUGACAUAGAACACCCAUUGCGAAGGCAGCUAACUACGCGAUAAUUGACGCUGAUGCACGAAAGCGUGGGGAUCAAACAGG